AGUCAUGAAUUGGGACUUGAAAUUCCAUAACAGCCAAGAUGGUGAAUGAUAAUGUGGAGCUGUUUAAGUAUUGACCACUUGGACUUACGGGCUGAUCUACUUCUUCCCCCUCAAACUCCAUUUUCAGAAUUCAGAUUCCACAAUGUUCAGUUUUUCCAAUGCCAACUUUUUAACAUACAUGUAUUUAUUUAUAGUCUCUGACUCUACCC
rnacentral:lncRNA from 1 species